GUUGCCAGUAAGUGGUCUCCUUGUGGGUGUGUGUGUGUGUGUGUGUGUGUGUGUGUGUGUGUGUGUGUAAUUUAGGUUCAGGGGCACAUGUGCAGGUUUCUGAAAUAGGUAAACUUGUAUCACAAGGGUUUGUUGUACACUUAUUUCCUCACCCAGGUAUUAAGCCCAGUACCCGUUAGUUAUUUUUCCUGGUCCUCUCCCUCUUCCCACCCUCUGUCCUCAAGCAGGCCCCAGUGUGUGUUGUUCCCCUCUAUGUGUCCAUCUUUGUGGUCUUUGAAAGCAACUAAGAGGGUACCCAUUUUCUCAGCUCAGCUGUCUGGAAGCCAAGCAGGCCAGGCACUUUCUUCCCAAAGAAAAUUGCAGGUCAUGGGAGGCGUUUUUCAUCCUAACAGUCACUAAUAGUUUUUGACUGGGUGUUGUGCAGCUUAUUUAUGUGGAGAAGCCGCAUCUAUCUUCUCUACUCCUCAACUGCCAGGCAGAGAAAAAUGGCCACAGUUUUCUUCUGAAACACCAUGAGGCACAAUGGAUCAAGGAUAUGACUGGAAUCAAGGAAAUUAGCAACGUCAAGACACUCCAGUUAAGGCAGUUCGCAUGGAAAAUGUUCCAGAGGCUUCCUUUAAGUGAAUCAACAUGUAGGUGGAAAAGUAGAGUCCUAACGUCAUCAUAAACAGCACUGCGGCCUAAGCGGGUGGGAAAAUGCAUAGCUCUCUCGGCUAACCAACUCUAUAGGAUGUCUAACUGUUGGAGCACGAAAGCACAGCUAAGCACCCAUGUAUGCCUCAUGGCCAGUUUGAGUCCUUGUAGGUCAAGCAACCAGAGAAAAUAGGCAGCCUCCUGAAUGCUGGCUGGGCAAAAGCCAACUUAGAAAACAAGGGCAAAUAUGCCAACAAUCAUAAAACAUUGUUCAAGCUGAGCAUAACAAAGGGGAGGGGACGACUUGACUUUUUUAUAAGCAGGUAAGCAGGGCCUGAGGCACCCAAUAACCUUCACUCAAAGUCACAGGGCAACCAGAGCCAAGCCUUCGCCCAACCUCACCACAGGUGUGAACUCUCCAUCCUGAACGCAUACCAUCUCCCCUUGCCCGCUAAAAUCACCCCUCCUGAGGAGGAAUAAAUUGGACAUCAAGCCUCACACACGGAACACCUGCCCUGGGCACCAGUGUUUGAAAACAGCCCUGUCAUCAGCUCCAUUUUCUGGGGGGCUCCUUCUGUAACUUCCUCUGUCAGCCAUGUCCCAUUGUGAGAGGGAAAAGACACUGAUGAAUCUGUAGGGGAUCUGGACGCUGUGCCAUUUUAUGGUGUGUGUGUUUAAAUAGCUCUUGCUCCCUAAUUUCAUGUUGCUUAGGGUUAUGUUAAAAUUAGUAUGUUCAGGAAAUCACAAUGAGGAAAGGUGGCCCAGAAACCUUUUUUAGAUAGCAAGGAGAACGGUGGCCUGCUUUUAGUUUUGUGCAUGUGGAUAGACUACAAAGUGAAUGGGAAUUGACAAAAUCUGUAUUUUCCUACUAUCUUUUCUUGCUUGUGCCUAGUAGCCCUCAGAAAAAUGGGCUCAAUGCAGGGGUUUCUCUGGAGCACCUCAGCUUCAGCCUUCUCCUGUCUGGGCUACCUUACCCCGGAUUCCUCAACAGUUCCUAAAGGGUUUUAAUGGUGGUGCUUUCUUGUUAAUGACUAGACCUCGAGUUCACAAAGCUCAUCAUCCUCUCCAGGUCACAACAAAUAAUUUCAUUGUUGUGUCCAAGGCUCUUCACAUUCCCUUUCAUUCUCCCUUCCUGCUCCCGCCUAUGGGGACCCACUCAAAUGGUUUUUCACUGAAGAACAUCUCACAGUUUUUUUGUGAAUGUCUGUGCUCAUGUAAGAGUAAUGUUGGGCUAUGCAUCUCACUUUUUCAUGCAACAUGAAAUCUUUUAAAGAUCUUGUCACUAGGCUGGGCAUGGUGGCUCACGCCUGUAAUCCCAGCACUUUGGGAGGCUGAGGCAGGUGGAUCACCUGAGUUCGAGACCAGCCUGGCCAACACGGCAAAACCCCAUCUCUACUAAAAAUACAAAAAUUAGCUGGGCAUGGCGGCAUGCGCCUGUAGUCCCAGCUAGUCGGGAGAAUGAGGCAGGAGAAUUGCUUGAACCCGGGAGGCCGAGGUUGCAGUGAGCCGAGAUUGCGCCACUGCACUGCAGCCUGGGUGACAGAGCGAGACUUCAUCUAAAAAAAAAAAAUCUUGUCACUAAAUCUAGUUCGUGGUUUCUAACUUCCACUACGUCCACCCCACUGUAUCCCACUCUGCCACUUACCAGCUGUGUGAUCUUGAGCAAAUUACUUAACUGCUCAGUGCCUCAGAUUCCUGAUAUAUAAAAUGAGACAGUAGGAGUGUCUACACUGCAGGGUGGUUAUGAGGAUUAAAUGAAUUUUGAAUGUAUGUAUCUGAAAAGCAUUGAGAAAUCCUUUGCACAUAAGUGCUCAAAAAAGAACAACCCUAGCUGACAUUGUUAUCAUUACUUCUCCAUUCCCCUGGUGAAGGGUAUGUCUGUCAGAGCUCUCUGCUACUGCAAACAAUACUGCAAUGGGCAUCCUCUUAUAAUCGUCCAAAGGCUAUGAAUUCACAGGAGGCUAACUAAUGUAUGAAGGGAUGCUAACCUCACUAUUGAUCAAAGACACACAACACAAAACAAGAGGCCACUUUCCAUCCAUCAGAUUAGCAGCCAGUGGGAAGUGAGCUACCACCAAGCACUGGAGAGGAUGUGGGGAGCGGGAUCUCUGAUGACUGCCGCUGGGACUGCUGUAAAUUGCACAUCCUGGAGAGCAGUAUGGCAUUUCCUGUGAAGCCAUUUACAUACUCUGUAAAUCAGCAAUCCCACUGCUAGGUCUGUGUCCCAGAGAAAUCUAUGGGCGAUUAUAAGAGGAUGGCCAUUUCUUCUGGGAAUAGGACGAUCCCUUUCACCUGUUGAUUCAAUGUUCCUGCUCUAUUUUUAAUCCAUUUCCACACUUUCACCACCUCAUUUCAUGUGUUGAGUCCCAAGUGACUGCAUUGCUUUUUUCAAAACAAAACAAAAAACAACAAAACGAAGACCACAAAAAAAGAAUUUUUUCUUGGAGCUAGAGUCCAAUUUGGAUCACAUGACCAGGCCAUAAAGAUGAGCACCUAGAAUGGAAGGCCAGACAGGCACCGAGGCCUGCAGCCUCUUGCCCAGAGAGCCUUUCUCACCUCUCCUGUUGCUGCUCUCCAGCCCCAUCGGCCUCCUGAGCUGUCUCCUCCCUCCAGCCCUUCCUGCCUGGGCUGGGCAGAUUUCCCUCUUGGGAGUCUCAGGUACUGCCCACUGCCUUGGGAUCACAUGCUUUGCAUGUCAUCUCCUCUGCAUUCUGACCCUGCUUUUGUCUUUCCCCAGUGGAAUUCCCUGAACCAUUAUUUCAAAGUGUUUCCAUUCUGCCCAAACAAGAGAGUUAAGUUCCUUGAGCGUGUAUCUUACUCUGCAGUCGGCCAAUGCCGAAUGGCAGAAUCACAGUCCUGGGUUCACCUG
rnacentral:lncRNA from 1 species